GAUGAACGCUGGCGGCGUGCCUAACACAUGCAAGUCGAGCGAAGCACUUACUUUAGAUUUCUUCGGAAUGACGAAGUUUGUGACUGAGCGGCGGACGGGUGAGUAACGCGUGGGCAACCUGCCCUGUACAGGGGGAUAACAGUUAGAAAUGACUGCUAAUACCGCAUAAGCCCACAGCUUCGCAUGAAGCAGUGGGAAAAACUCCGGUGGUACAGGAUGGGCCCGCGUCUGAUUAGCUAGUUGGUAAGGUAACGGCUUACCAAGGCGACGAUCAGUAGCCGACCUGAGAGGGGGACCGGCCACAUUGGGACUGAGACACGGCCCAAACUCCUACGGGAGGCAGCAGUGGGGAAUAUUGCACAAUGGGGGAAACCCUGAUGCAGCGACGCCGCGUGAGCGAUGAAGUAUUUCGGUAUGUAAAGCUCUAUCAGCAGGGAAGAAAGUGACGGUACCUGACGAAGAAGCCCCGGCUAACUACGUG
rnacentral:rRNA from 1 species